GACGAACGCUGGCGGCGUGCUUAACACAUGCAAGUCGAGCGGUAAGGCCCUUUCGGGGGUACACGAGCGGCGAACGGGUGAGUAACACGUGGGUGACCUGCCCUUAGCUCUGGGAUAAGCCUGGGAAACUGGGUCUAAUACCGGAUAUGACUCCAUGACGCAUGUUGUGGGGUGGAAANCCUUGUGCGGCUAGGGAUGGGCCCGCGGCCUAUCAGCUUGUUGGUGGGGUGAUGGCCUACCAAGGCGACGACGGGUAGCCGGCCUGAGAGGGCGACCGGCCACACUGGGACUGAGACACGGCCCAGACUCCUACGGGAGGCAGCAGUGGGGAAUCUUGCGCAAUGGGCGAAAGCCUGACGCAGCGACGCCGCGUGAGGGAUGACGGCCU
rnacentral:rRNA from 1 species